AACGUAGGAGACAAACGUUAUCCGGAGUUACUGGGCAUAAAGGGCGUGUAGGUGGUUUCGUAAGUCUGGCGUGAAAUUUCUCGGCUUAACCGAGGCAGGUCGUCGGAUACUGCGAGGCUAGAGGACGGUAGAGGCGUGUGGAAUUCCGGGUGUAGUGGUGAAAUGCGUAGAGAUCCGGAGGAACACCAGUGGCGAAGGCGACACGCUGGGCCGUACCUGACACUGAGGCGCGAAAGCCAGGGGAGCAAACGGG
rnacentral:rRNA from 1 species